rnacentral:rRNA from 1 species
UACCAGCACCCCGAGUGGUCGGGACGAUUAUUGGGCCUAAAGCAUCCGUAGCCGGUUCUACAAGUCUUCCGUUAAAUCCACCUGCUUAACAGAUGGGCUGCGGAGGAUACUAUAGAGCUAGGAGGCGGGAGAGGCAAGCGGUACUUAGUGGGUAGGGGUAAAAUCCGUUGAUCCAUUGAAGACCACCAGUGGCGAAGGCGGCUUGCCAGAACGCACUCGACGGUGAGGGAUGAAAGCUGGGGGAGCAAACGG